ACGAACGCUGGCGGCGUGCUUAACACAUGCAAGUCGAACGGAAAGGCCCUGCUUUUGUGGGGUGCUCGAGUGGCGAACGGGUGAGUAACACGUGAGUAACCUGCCCUUGACUUUGGGAUAACUUCAGGAAACUGGGGCUAAUACCGGAUAGGAGCUCCUGCUGCAUGGUGGGGGUUGGAAAGUUUCGGCGGUUGGGGAUGGACUCGCGGCUUAUCAGCUUGUUGGUGGGGUAGUGGCUUACCAAGGCUUUGACGAGUAGCCGGCCUGAGAGGGUGACCGGCCACAUUGGGACUGAGAUACGGCCCAGACUCCUACGGGAGGCAGCAGUGGGGAAUAUUGCACAAUGGGCGGAAGCCUGAUGCAGCAACGCCGCGUGCGGGAUGACGGCCUUCGGGUUGUAAACCGCUUUCGCCUGUGACGAAGCGUGAGUGACGGUAAUGGGUAAAGAAGCACCGGCUAACUACGUGCCAGCAGCCGCGGUGAUACGUAGGGUGCGAGCGUUGUCCGGAUUUAUUGGGCGUAAAGGGCUCGUAGGUGGUUGAUCGCGUCGGAAGUGUAAUCUUGGGGCUUAACCCUGAGCGUGCUUUCGAUACGGGUUGACUUGAGGAAGGUAGGGGAGAAUGGAAUUCCUGGUGGAGCGGUGGAAUGCGCAGAUAUCAGGAGGAACACCAGUGGCGAAGGCGGUUCUCUGGGCCUUUCCUGACGCUGAGGAGCGAAAGCGUGGGGAGCGAACAGGCUUAGAUACCCUGGUAGUCCACGCUGUAAACGGUGGGUACUAGGUGUGGGGUCCAUUCCACGGGUUCCGUGCCGUAGCUAACGCUUUAAGUACCCCGCCUGGGGAGUACGGCCGCAAGGCUAAAACUCAAAGGAAUUGACGGGGCCCCGCACAAGCGGCGGAGCAUGCGGAUUAAUUCGAUGCAACGCGUAGAACCUUACCUGGGUUUGACAUGGAUCGGGAGUGCUCAGAGAUGGGUGUGCCUCUUUUGGGGUCGGUUCACAGGUGGUGCAUGGCUGUCGUCAGCUCGUGUCGUGAGAUGUUGGGUUAAGUCCCGCAACGAGCGCAACCCUUGUUCACUGUUGCCAGCACGUUAUGGUGGGGACUCAGUGGAGACCGCCGGGGUCAACUCGGAGGAAGGUGGGGAUGACGUCAAGUCAUCAUGCCCCUUAUGUCCAGGGCUUCACGCAUGCUACAAUGGCUGGUACAGAGAGUGGCGAGCCUGUGAGGGUGAGCGAAUCUCGGAAAGCCGGUCUCAGUUCGGAUUGGGGUCUGCAACUCGACCUCAUGAAGUCGGAGUCGCUAGUAAUCGCAGAUCAGCAACGCUGCGGUGAAUACGUUCCCGGGGCUUGUACUCACCGCCCGUCA
rnacentral:rRNA from 1 species